rnacentral:misc_RNA from 1 species
GAUGAAGAACGCAGCGAAAUGCGAUAAGUAGUGUGAAUUGCAGACUUUAGUGAAUCAUCGAAUCUUUGAACGCACAUUGCGCCCCUUGGUAUUCCAUUGGGCAUGCCUGUUCGAGCGUCAUUUACACCCUCAAGCUCACGCUUGGUGUUGGGCGUCUGUCCGCGCUUUCGAGCGUGGACUCGCCCCAAAUCCAUUGGCAGCGGCUUCGCCGGCUUCUCGCGCAGCACUUUGCGUUCAAGAAGGUCUUCGGCGGACUCGCGUCCAUCAAGUCACCCCUCAUUUUGACCUCGAAUCAGGUAGGGAUACCCGCUGAACUUAAGCAUAUCAAUAAGCGGAGGA